rnacentral:rRNA from 1 species
GAUGAACGCUGGCGGCGUGCCUAAUACAUGCAAGUCGAGCGAAUGGAUUAAGAGCUUGCUCUUAUGAAGUUAGCGGCGGACGGGUGAGUAACACGUGGGUAACCUGCCCAUAAGACUGGGAUAACUCCGGGAAACCGGGGCUAAUACCGGAUAAUAUUUUGAACUGCAUGGUUCAAAAUUGAAAGGCGGCUACGGCUGUCACUUAUGGAUGGACCCGCGUCGCAUUAGCUAGUUGGUGAGGUAACGGCUCACCAAGGCAACGAUGCGUAGCCGACCUGAGAGGGUGAUCGGCCGCACUGGGACUGAGACACGGCCCAGACUCCUACGGGAGGCAGCAGUAGGGAAUCUUCCGCAAUGGACGAAAGUCUGACGGAGCAACGCCGCGUGAGUGAUGAAGGCUUUCGAGUCGUAAAACUCUGUUGUUAGGGAAGAACAAGUGCUAGUUGAAUAAGCUGGCACCUUGACGGUACCUAACCAGAAAGCCACGGCUAACUACGUGCCAGCAGCCGCAGUAA